GAUGAACGCUAGCGGGAGGCCUAACACAUGCAAGCCGAGCGGUAGAGUCUCUUCGGAGACUUGAGAGCGGCGCACGGGUGCGGAACACGUGUGCAACCUGCCUUUAUCUGGGGGAUAGCCUUUCGAAAGGAAGAUUAAUACCCCAUAAUAUACUGGAUGGCAUCAUCUGGUAUUGAAAACUCCGGUGGAUAGAGAUGGGCACGCGCAAGAUUAGAUAGUUGGUGAGGUAACGGCUCACCAAGUCAGCGAUCUUUAGGGGGCCUGAGAGGGUGAUCCCCCACACUGGUACUGAGACACGGACCAGACUCCUACGGGAGGCAGCAGUGAGGAAUAUUGGACAAUGGGUGAGAGCCUGAUCCAGCCACCCCGCGUGAAGGACGACGGCCCUAUGGGUUGUAAACUUCUUUUGUAUAGGGAUAAACCUAGAUACGUGUAUCUAGCUGAAGGUACUAUACGAAUAAGCACCGGCUAACUCCGCG
rnacentral:rRNA from 1 species